AGAGAUGUAGUUUAAUGGUAGAAUAUCGGUCUCCAAAACCGUUGAUCUAGGUUCGAUUCCUAGCAUCUCUG